UACGUAGGGGGCAAGCGUUGUCCGGAUUCAUUGGGCGUAAAGAGCGUGUAGGCGGCCAGGUAGGUCGGUUGUGAAAACUGGAGGCUCAACCUUCAGAGGUCGACCGAAACCAUCUGGCUAGAGUCCGGGAGAGGAGAGUGGAAUUCCUGGUGUAGCGGUGAAAUGCGCAGAUAUCAGGAGGAACACCGGUGGCGAAGGCGGAUCUCUGGGCCUUACCUGACGCUGAGGCGCGAAAGCUAGGGGAGCAAACAGG
rnacentral:rRNA from 1 species